AGACGGAGGGGGCUAGCGUUGUUCGGAAUUACUGGGCGUAAAGGGCACGUAGGCGGCUUGUCUAGUCAGGCGUGAAAGCCCCGGGCUUAACCCGGGAAUUGCGCUUGAUACUGGCGAGCUAGAGUUCGGGAGAGGACAGUGGAAUUCUCAGUGUAGAGGUGAAAUUCGUAGAUAUUGGGAAGAACACCAGUGGCGAAGGCGGCUGUCUGGACCGAUACUGACGCUGAGGUGCGAAAGCGUGGGGAGCAAACAGGAUUAGAAACCCCAGUAGUCC
rnacentral:rRNA from 1 species